UCACGGUCGGGCUCGGAUUCGCUUGGUGCAGGUCGGGAACCAAUUUGGCUGACGUGAGUCGUCUCUUUAUUGGUUUUGUGUCAGCAGAGGAUUGGAUCCCGCCUUGCAUCAACUGAAUCGGAGCCCUCGACGUGAAU
rnacentral:pre_miRNA from 1 species